GGGGGGGGUGCGGCUGGGUUAAAGGCCCUCCAGGUGAUUCUAAUGGCACUUAAGGCCAGAAGGUCCUGACUCUGCCUUGAAACAACAAGCCCUUCCAGAAGUUGGAUGGAGGGGGAUCAGAGGAAGCCGGGAAAACAGAAAGUUGUUUUAAACACACCCAGGAUUUUGUUCUCAGCAGGACUGGACUCAUGCAGGGCACAAGGUGACUACGCUGGGACCAGGCAGGAUUGUCGCCCUGCUUCAGUGUCUUUAAGUGACUCACACCACAAGGUCCUUACGCCCCAUAAGGUACCAACUCAUAGGCUGUGGGAAUUAGCAUGUGAGUGUCUUUGGGGCUGGCGGGGGUGGGGGAGCACUCAUUCUGCCUUCUCGGAAGGAGGAAGACACACACACACACACACACACACACUCCUUUUUUUUUUUUUUUUGGUUGUCAAAUAAUCUUUAAUUUUUCUUUGAAGUUCUUAGCUAGCUGGGCAUUCCACUGCACCACUGUUGAUGUCAUCUAUGAUGUUGUGAGGGUGAUGGCCAUCAACAUUGCAGCCCACAGACUGGGCAGUCCACAGGAUUUCUUUUAGGGUUCCAGAAAGUUCUCUAGCUAAAGAUUGAUGCUGCAUCUGUUGGGCAAUGAAAGCCCUGGAGCCCAGAAGGGGUCUGACCUCAGCCUUGAGGCCUCAUUGGGAAAACCAAGGCCAGAGCUGGGUGAGAAGCCCAAGAGUUUGGGUUGAGAGGGGGGGUUCGUGGGCAGGGGGGCAGGUGGUGGGGAGAGCAGUGCACUUGGAAGCCUCUCUGCAGAGUGAAGGGGAUGAAAGUCCAUUGUGCGUUGUGGAUUUUUGCUGCGUUGCCUCGUGCCCUGUAUCCCAGGAGGACAGCCCACCCACUGCCAUCACUGGGCCACCCUUGCUCUUCCUGAGGGUGACAGGCCCAUGCUUCCUCAGCCUAAGGAUGCCCCCAGGGAUGAAGGCCAAGGUCAGGCCCUCUGUGUACAGCUGAGCUGCUGCCCAGGGCAUCCCUGUGUCUUGGCUGCAUGUUUCCUGCCCCCAGAGCACCAGCAUUCCACCUGCUCUCCAUUGGGCUAACAUUAUCCUCUUUGGGUGGCACAUUUAAUAUAUCUGAAAAGAAAAUUAAAACCAAUGACACUGCCUGCAUUGGAAAGCAAUGGCCCUACCUUGGGAAGGAGGUGGGCACCUUGUCUCUGGGGACUAGUGGGGAAGAAGAGUGGAGAUCAGGACAAGGAGCAUCCAGGACACCUAGUCCCUGAGAGUCUUGUGGUGGCUGGACACUUGCUGCACACACUCAUUAAGUCUCUUCCCCAGCCCUGGGCCUGGGUGUUGCUCUUCCCAGUUUACAGACAAGAACCAAAUCUCAAGAGGCCUCAACACACACACACACACACACACACGAGGCAUAUUUCCUGGUUCUGUCCCAGACCUUCUGUGGGGAUGAGCCUGUCAUGCUGCCCAUCUCAGAGAGUCUGUAACUCCUGAGUUCAAGGAGCUCUGCCACUCCCUCUGGGUGCCCAGGAUGAGGCCAGCAGAGGUUAAUAAUCUAACUCCAGCCCCUAGGACUGGCUGGCUGGCCUCAGAACCUGAAAAACCCCUUGUGUAGAAAAUGCAAACCCAACAUGUGUGGUAUAAGUAGCGCCUUUUGCUAUUUGAAUGUUAUUCAAAUAAAGGAUUAGGAACCCCAGGCAGCUUACAUUACCAUCUCCACAGGCAAAAACAAAAAAGAUCUAUGUUUAGGACCAGGGAUUUGUUAUUUGACCACAAAGAAGAAAAGCCUCUUUCUCUUUUAAUGUAAAAUAAUGGAACUCCAGUGUGGCCAGCAUGGCUGGGGACAUUCUAGACUAAUCUCUCACCCGGCCCCACCUCCCGCACUCAGAGCCCCCACCCCCACCAGGCGGCAGCUCCUAGUCAGAGGGUAGAAGAAAAUGAUUAACAUUUUAACAGUGUGGGGAGAAGCUGCCUAGGCUGACUCCUCAUCCCUCCCUCUGGCCCUUCUCUUCCAGGAAGGUCAUCUGUAUUAUCAUCCUAUUGCUGCUGUAACAAAUUAGCACCAAUCUAGUGACUUACCAGUUUCUACCUUACAUUCUAGGGGUCAGAAGUGCAGGAUGGGUUUCACAAGCCACAGGUAGGGUACCUGUAGACUGUUUCUUCUGGAAGAUCCUGUCCCUUUGCCAGCAUUUAGAGGCCCCCUCUGUCCUAGCUCAUGGCCCCUUCCUCCACCUUCACAGCCAGCACUGUAGCACUCGCCAAUCUCUCCGACCCUGCCACCUCCCUCCAUCACCUACAGGGGCCUUUGUGGUGACCUUGUCCCACCCAGGUGACCCAGGAUCAUGUCCCCAAUCAUGCCUCCAGAAUCCUUUUUUCCCUAUAAGGUGACUUGUUCAUGAGAAUAUUGUCCCCGUCUGUGCAUGUGGGUUGGAAGAAGAAUUUCCAGUCACAGAGUGAGGUGAAGAGAAAGAAGAGUUUAUUGAGAUAAGAAAUGCUGCUAGUGCAGCAGGAAACGCCUUCCUGAUGAUCAGGGAGAGCGACCCUGGGCACAUGGUCAUGUCUGCUUCUACGGCCCAGGGAGAGGGGAGGUCUCAGGAUAUAUCUGCUGACCUGCUGAUUAGUUGGGGAAAGAGGGGCCUUAUGAUACACUUGCUCAUUUGUUGGGGACAUGAGGAGUGGGCCUCAUACCUUUCCUCGUAGGGGGCAGGUGGCUCAAGGUGGGGGAGGGGCAUUACAAUGAGCCAGGUGGGGCAAUGUUAAGGGUCUGGUCAUUCUUGGCUUGGCCAAAGGCUUUGAGUUCAAUCUCCUUGAAGAGGCCCUGAAGCCCCACAAACACAUCCAGGGAUUAGGCCCUGGAUCUCUUUGGGGGCCAUGACUCUUUUUACUGCACAAGCUCAACCCUGGUUUGAAAGGAAUUCCAAGCAGACCUCCAACCACCUUACCCCCUGUGAAAGAGACUAGGCUUCUCUCAGAUUUAUGGUGAUUUCAUGUCACUUCAAACUAGCUAUUUUCUCACGGUUCUGGUGUAUCUGUGGAUGUGUUGCCAUUUAAUUAUGUGCCACACCAACACCUUGAGCCUCUCACCCAGUGCAGGGAGGGGAGUCAGGCAAGGUCUUCUUGCAAGAGACAUCCAGAGACUUGGAGCAGGUGAAAGAGACGAGUCUUUCCCCAUUUAAGGAAAGCAGUCAGCUCCACUUACAAAGGCUGCAUUUCCCUUGCAAAAGAGUCUCAUCACCAGCUUCUUUUAUGAUUUCCUCUCAGCCAGAGUGAGCUGCUUUCUGAGGCACUGCCUCCUUGCAGACAACUGUCUGAGCCCUGAAUUAGGUUCUCAUCUCGAGCCACAUUUAAUUAGGAGGUUUGCCGGGAGGUUGUGAGUGAGCACGAUGAAAGGAGCUGUCAGGUCCCCUGAGGUUUCUCUCAACUAAAUAUGUACCCUGGAUUUAUGGAAAAUAUUCUUUUAACCUAUUUUAUUUAUCCUCAGUAUUAAACCUAUUCAUGCCAGGCUUGUAAUUAUUAAGAAACUUUAUCAAGUGGCUUGGCUCAAGCUAAAAUCAAAACCAAA
rnacentral:lncRNA from 1 species